AACGCACCUUGCACCCUUUGGCAUUCCGAAGGGUAUGCUCGUUUGAGUGUCAUUGUACUCUCACACUUCUGAUCCUUUGGAUUUGGAGCGGUGGACUUGGGUGUUGCCGCUUUGCGGUGGCUCACCUCAAAUGGAUUAGUACAACUCUCGGUUGACCAUAGUACGGCGUGAUAAGUAUCUUCGCCGGCACCUCGCAAGAGGGUGGCUGAUCGAGAGCUCUGUGCUUUCAAACCGUCCUCGGACAAUCACUGACAACUUGACCUCAAAUCGAGUAGGACUACCCGCUGAACUUAAGCAUAUCAAUCGGAGG
rnacentral:rRNA from 1 species